AAAAGGCGGCCCCGGAAGCGGGGCCAGGAGAGAGGCGGGGGAAGCCCGCAGGGAACCCCGAGAGCGGGACCCGCGCCAGCAGGGCACGUGCAUCCGACCCGACGGGGUCAGCCGAGGCAGCGGCGCGACCUGCAGCAGCUGCCGGGAGAGCGGCGGUGAUAGCAGCACCGGUCGCGGCAGAGAGAGCUGCAGCGUUAAAGGAGCCGGGAGAGAAAGCUGCGGCUACAGCAGCGAGGACUGCGCUCUUAAAGGAGCCGCACACGAAAAAGAAGACGACAUCGGCAGCACGAUGGAAGGAGGAACUGGCUACAGUCGCAGCAGGAGUGCGGGUGGCGAAACCGGGGGAAGGGACCCUAGAGCCACUGCAACCAGGUACAGCAGGGGAAAACAGCAGCAGUAGUAGGUGGGUUAUGCAACCCCACAAUUGCUUCUGCGCUGGCAGGGACAACUUGGGAGAACCAGACAGGGUGGAGAAAUGCACCCACUGCUAUUGCUGCUGCUGCUGUUCUGAGCUACAGCCAAGCAGGAGCAACUCUGGAUCCCCUACCCCACCAGCAAGGCACAGCAUCAGCAGCAGUACUGCAAGUGAGGACUCACCAGUGCUGAAUAGAGCAGAAGAAUCACUUCUCUUGAUUUGCAAGUGACAAUCCCGUUAAUACCACCCAAUAUGCUUUUGGCUUUUUUUGUUUGUUUGUUUUGCAACAAAAGCAUGUUGUUGACUCAUAUUCUGUUUCUGAUCCAUGUAACUCCCAUGUCACAGUCUGCAAAUACUGCAGCCUUGCCUGUCUUUCCCCAGUCUGUGUCUAUGCAUGACAUUGUGAAUCUUUGCAUGUCAUUAAAG